ACCUUUGAUACAAUUCAUCCUGUGUCAAGGUUGAUGCCAAUUUUAACAAGAACUCUUUAUAUAAUGGCUUCAAAUCGUUAAAAGACAUUCCCUCCGGAUCUGUGGAGAAAAAAAACUAAAUUUAACAAGGCACUUGUAACUUCAAUGAACCGGUUUUCAACGAACCAGGAAAAUAUACAAAUGUCAAUGUUUGGAAAACAAUCAAAAAUAGCGGUAUUCGAAUUGGAGAAUCAGAAGAAAGUCAUAAUUGGAAGAAAGAGAACCGGAUUUCAGACACAAAUUAUCUGCAUAUGAGGAAAUGAUUAUAAGUGAGUCUCUUCUUUCGUCGUGGGACUUUUUCAACAACUACGGGGGAUUUUUUCGUUGUCUCUUCUUCAGUGGCACUCGAUACGGAACUCUUCUUUGCCCUUGGUGGC